rnacentral:rRNA from 1 species
UACAGAGGGGGCCAGCGUUAUUCGGAAUUAUUGGGCGUAAAGAGCGUGUAGGCGGCCACACAGGUCAGCUGUGAAAACUCGAGGCUCAACCUCGAGACGUCGGUUGAAACCGUAUGGCUAGAGUCCGGAAGAGGAGAGUGGAAUUCCCGGUGUAGCGGUGAAAUGCGCAGAUAUCGGGAAGAACACCCGUGGCGAAGGCGGCUCUCUGGGACGGUACUGACGCUGAGACGCGAAAGCGUGGGGAGCGAACAGG